rnacentral:rRNA from 1 species
AACGAACGCUGGCGGCAGGCCUAACACAUGCAAGUCGAACGCUGUAGCAAUACAGAGUGGCAGACGGGUGAGUAACGCGUGGGAACAUGCCCUUCGGUUCGGAAUAACUCAGGGAAACUUGAGCUAAUACCGGAUACGCCCUUAGGGGGAAAGAUUUAUUGCCGAAGGAUUGGCCCGCGUCCGAUUAGCUAGUUGGUGAGGUAAUGGCUCACCAAGGCGACGAUCGGUAGCUGGUCUGAGAGGAUGAUCAGCCACACUGGGACUGAGACACGGCCCAGACCCCUACGGGAGGCAGCAGUGGGGAAUAUUGGACAAUGGGCGCAAGCUUGAUCCAGCCAUGCCGCGUGAGUGAUGAAGGCCCUAGGGUUGUAAAGCUCUUUCGCCAGGGACGAUAAUGACGGUACCUGGAUAAGAAGCCCCGGCUAACUUCGUGCCAGCCGCCGCAGUAACAC